UACGAAGGGGGCUAGCGUUGCUCGGAAUCACUGGGCGUAAAGCGCACGUAGGCGGCUUUCUAAGUCAGGGGUGAAAUCCUGGAGCUCAACUCCAGAACUGCCUUUGAUACUGGAGAGCUUGAGACCGGAAGAGGUGAGUGGAACUCCGAGUGUAGAGGUGAAAUUCGUAGAUAUUCGGAAGAACACCAGUGGCGAAGGCGGCUCACUGGUCCGGUACUGACGCUGAGGUGCGAAAGCGUGGGGAGCAAACAGG
rnacentral:rRNA from 1 species